rnacentral:hammerhead_ribozyme from 1 species
AUCCAGCUGACGAGUCCCAAAUAGGACGAAUCACGCGUCAAACUGGAU